rnacentral:tRNA from 1 species
CCGGUAGUUCAGUUGGUUAGAACGCCGCCCUGUCACGGCGGAGGUCAUGGGUUCGAGUCCCACCCG